GACGAACGCUGGCGGCGUGCUUAACACAUGCAAGUCGAACGGAAAGGCCCUGCUUUUGUGGGGUGCUCGAGUGGCGAACGGGUGAGUAACACGGGAGUAACCUGCCCUUGACUUUGGGAUAACUUCAGGAAACUGGGGCUAAUACCGGAUAGGAGCUCCUGCUGCAUGGUGGGGGUUGGAAAGUUUCGGCGGUUGGGUAUGGACUCGCGGCUUAUCAGCUUGUUGGUGGGGUAGUGGCUUACCAAGGCUUUGACGGGUAGCCGGCAUGAGAGGGUGACCGGCCACGUUGGGACUGAGAUACGGCCCAGACUCCUACGGGAGGCAGCAGUGGGGAAUAUUGCACAAUGGGCGGAAGCCUGAUGCAGCAACGCCGCGUGCGGGAUGACGGCCUUCGGGUUGUAAACCGCUUUCGCCUGUGACGAAGCGUGAGUGACGGUAAUGGGUAAAGAAGCACCGGCUAACUACGUG
rnacentral:rRNA from 1 species